rnacentral:lncRNA from 1 species
UGUUUGGUUCGGGUUAUUCUAGCAGAAUUAUAGGAGGCAAUUUUGUUAGAAUUACUAUGUUUGGUAGCAUUACAAAUGGUGUCGGAUUAUACAAAAAAUAUUACUGAGAAGGAACGUGUACCUUGGAUUAGUGAAUGCCGGUUAACCUUAUUUGUUAUAUAAAAUUACAAGUUUAUCCCUCAAACUCUCAAAACCCUUUCAAUACGUCAUUUUAAAAUUUUUAAUUUAAAAUUUUAAAUUGUUAACUUUUAAAUUUUAAAUUUUAUUUUCAAUU